UGGCAAAGAAAGCUCUCAGAUAAUAACUGGGAAAGUGUUCAUAAGAACACUAAGCUGAGAACAGGGUUGUUAACGUUGAUCAACGAUCAACGGCGUUAACGUUAAUGUAGAUCCUGCUUAACGUCAACGCCGUUGCGUUGAUUUCCAUGGUUGUUAGCGUCAACGUCAACGGGUUGCGUUGAAUCAACGAUAACGUAUAGCGUUAACCUAAUCGUUGAUUGUCUGUGCGGUUCGUGUAGCUGCAAAUUUUCAAUUUACAUCUAUAAACAAAUGGUUGCUAUACAGAUAUCGUAUCCAAGGUAUCCAAGAAUGAAGAAACUUCAUGAGGUACCUAAUAUUUUUCAUCAUUCUGUUCUUGAUUGUCGAUCUGAUUAGAGCUUACGUGCCCAUACAGCAAAAUGUGUUUCGCCCGAGAAUUCGCGAUCUAGUCAAACAACUCCGAGCAACCUCAGCAUGAUGUCAUCGACCGAUGGAUUCCAAUUCAAGAAUUCUGACACGUCAAACUUAGUUGCAUUGACAAGCCAACUAACCAAGCAAGAAGGGAUUAUAAAAAUCUUCACGAUUGUGUGUGCUCAAAAUAAACUAACCUCGAUGCAGAUUUUUUUGACGUUCUAUCAAAGUGGCCGAAUCUAAAUGUGGCCGAAGCGAGUACGAGGGCUACAUCAGUAUCUGCCGAAAACAUCAAGAAUUAUUUGAGAUCUGGGUGAAAACUGACAUCAUGGAAUCAACAUGAACUACCCCGAUGACAUAGGAGCAUCGUUGCUUUGUUACCAGGUUUUAUCUAGCUCAGAUCGAUACUGAUCAAUCUUACAAUGCUACAGCCACACUAGUCUUGUCCUUUCAUUGUAAUCCCUCGCCACAUGAUUGAUAAUGGAUGAUGGAGACUGUUUCCUAAUGCAUGCGAUUUUGGAAUCCACGAAAAACCUCUUAAAAAUAAAGACAUAUAGACAAUGAACGCCCAAAAUAUACAUUUGUUGUUAUUUUAUUGAUAAUGUGAUUUAAUAAACAUGUACUUUACAUGCUUCA